GUGCAUUUAUUGAAUCAGAUCCUGAUUUAAUGAAUCAGAUCAUGUCGUGUAUAUGGAGUCUAAAGGAUUCGUCGAGCAUGGAUGUUAACAGAACUUUCACCUUGAUAGUGAAGUCAUAGUUCAAGGAGAUAGACAACAUGCCAGGAACACGGUUUCAUAAGAGUGAGCGUACGUGGUCUCUGGUCAUUCCUUGAAGAU
rnacentral:lncRNA from 1 species